rnacentral:rRNA from 1 species
GAUGAACGCUGGCGGCGUGCCUAACACAUGCAAGUCGAGCGAGGAGGAGGAAGCUUGCUUCCGAAUCCUAGCGGCGGACGGGUGAGUAACGCGUGAGCAAUCUGCCUCAAACAGGGGGAUAACGCAUCGAAAGAUGUGCUAAUACCGCGUAAGACCACAGCACCGCAUGGUGCAGGGGUCAAAGGAGCAAUCCGGUUUGAGAUGGGCCCGCGUCUGACUAGCUAGUUGGUGGGGUAAUGGCCUACCAAGGCGACGAUCAGUAGCCGGCUUGAGAGAGUGAACGGCCACAUUGGGACUGAGACACGGCCCAAACUCCUACGGGAGGCAGCAGUGGGGGAUAUUGGACAAUGGGGGAAACCCUGAUGCAGCGACGCCGCGUGAGUGAAGAAGUAUCUCGGUACGUAAAGCUCUAUCAGCAGGGAAGAAAAUGACGGUACCUGACCAAGAAGCCCCGGCUAACUACGUG